rnacentral:lncRNA from 1 species
AGAGAAUUGAUUUUUAAUAGUUAAAAGUUGAAUAUUAUAAUACCUGUAUUUUAUAUGUGAAUGUAAAUAUAUGUGUCUAUAUUGUGUGUGUAUGUAUAUAUAUCCUCAAUCCUUUUUCUUUGAUACUUUUCCUACUGUGGUAAAUUGAACUAUUUUUCUCAGUUGUUACCUUCCUCCCACUAAAGAGUUUUUGCAUGCUUUCUCUUUGCCACAAUUUUCUCAGUAUCUUCUCUAUAGGUGAAGUAUACCUUCCCUGCCCCAUCAACUUUGGCCAUGGUCUUGUGACAUGCUUUGGCUAGUGGAAUACAUGUGGAUAUUAGUUAAGCCAUGUCUGAGCAGAAGCUUUAAAUGAGCUUGUGUGAUUUGUCUCCAUCUAUCCUUGACCAUCUGUCUUUCACUGUAAGAACACCAAGUCCUAUGUCUGGCUGCUUCCUCAGUCUGGAUUCCAAGAUGAAUGGACACACAGAGCUGGCCCGAUGGACCCAGCUCAGCCUAGAAUGGAUUCACCGCCUUCUUCUAGAGGUUUACUCCUUUGACAACACCAACCCAGAUAACCUCACCAUCUUAUAGAAAAGCCAUAUGUAUAUUCACCUUAGCUGAUUUCAAGAGCCCACAUUUAAAAGAAAUUACUUGGGAAGUCUUGCCUUUGUAACUUCAAAGACCAGGAUGCUGGUUUAUAUUUGUCUGCAGGAAUAGUGGAAAGGUAAGAGAAAGAGGAGACUCUUCUGAUCAUGACCCUACCUUCUCUCUCUAUAAGUUCUUCCUGGACUACCAGUACCAGGCA